UCAUGAUAUUUUAACUUGGCCCAGAUUUAAGCUUUGAACCCAGCUCCCAUGGGCCCAAAGCGAGUAGCCGAGGCCUCACAUCCAAAUCAGCCGGGCCAUUAAACGUUUUGGUUCCGAGUGUCAAACUAGGGUUUGAUAUAAAUCACCGAGAAGCGCCAAAUUUAUCUACAACUCUUUUUCAGGCUUUGCAGCCGCUUCUGUAGAUCGAUCAGGAUUCUGAAGGAAGGCAGCGGAAGGGUUUUCUCAGCAGUGUCACCAUGAGAGCUAAGUGGAAGAAGAAGCGCAUGAGGAGAUUGAAGAGAAAGCGCCGAAAGAUGAGGCAGAGAUCCAAGUAACUCAAGGUCUGCUCAUGGCGGUUUACCUCUUCGGAGUCCCUUUUUUUCCCGUUUUUUAUCUUUCUGUUGAUUUCUCCCUUCUAUCUUAACUGGAGAGGAUAGAGAUCUUGGCUACUCUAUUUGUAUUAGCAUUUUGUGGAUUAAGUUUCGUGCAGACCCUAUUACCUGAGAAUGCAAUUUUUGGUUCACUUAUUCA